CGAGCCGGAGGCUAAUGGGCCUGCUACGCGCUUUCGGUUCCGAGACACAGCGUUAAGAGUUGGUGCAGCUGAGGGGAGCCCUGUGGCUCAGUCGGUUAAGCGACCGACUUCAGCUCGGGUCAUGAUCUCGCCAUCUAAUAAGGAAGUUUUCUCUUAUGAUACCUGUGACGUAUAGAAAUAUGAUAAAAUAUUCCUUUGCAAACAAAUUGAAACCUCUAACUUGUCUCCCUACAUGAACCCUCCAGAAUUCAGAAACUCUCAAGAGUGCAUGCACAAAUGGGGGAGGAGCAGAGUGAGAAGAAGAGAGAGAAUCCCAAGCAGGCUCCAUGCUGUCAGUGCCAAGUCCAACGGAGGGCUCAGUCCUAUGAACCAUGAGAUCAUGACCUGAGCCAGAAAUCAAGAGUUGGACACCCAACCGACUGAGCCACCCAGGUGCCCCACAAUUUGUUUAAUUUUCCCUUUAUUUCUUUCAUUUGUCUAACUGCACUACUAUGGUUUUCUUUAUGUUAUUCAAUAUAGUAAUGAUAGUGAGCAUAGUUGUCUCAAUCCUGAUUUUAAUGUGAAUUAACCUGACAUUUCAAUAUCAGGUGUGGUAAAUUUCUGUAAGCUUAUGGUAGAUUCCUUUUAUCAGGAAAGAAGUUUUCUUCCAUUCUUAAGUUGCUAUGAAUUGUGAUAGUAAACGUUGGAUUUCCCUAAUGCUUUUUUCUCCAUUUAAAGAGAUGAUCAGAUAACUUUUUUCCUUCAAUAUAUUAACAUGCUAAACUCUAUUAGUAAAUUUCCCAAUGCUAAAGUGUUCUUGCAUUCUUGUCUGGGAUUAAUUCAAUUAGAUCACAACAUAUAAAUUCUUAAAUACAUUGCUUAUUCAGUUUCCUGAUACUUCCACAGUGAUUUUUGCAUCUAUGAUUCAUGAAAGGCCAGAUUUCCAUUCUUAUUCUGUCCUUCACUGGUUUUCAUAUGAAAUUUUUCCUAUAUUCUGCUUUCUGUAUGUCUUGAUUUUUAUGUUUCUCUUUUUUUCACCAUUCUGAAUUUCUUUUGGAUUACUGUAGUUUUUAAAAAACUGCUAUUGUUUUUCCCUCCCCACUGACUUGGAAAUUCUAAAUUCUAUUUCUCUUUUUUUUUAUUAUAAUAAAUGUUACAUAUAGCUAGUCUGAUUAACAUUUACUAUAUAAUUGUCCACUUAUUUUGCUAUAUCAUCUUUUCUUGCUCCAAGUUAGACGUUAUCGUUUUAUGCAUUUUUUUUUAAGAAAGAUUUAUCCUCUCCUUUAUUUUUAUCAGUUUCUUCAUCAUGACUCCUUCCCUUAUCUGGAACCAUUUUUGUGAGACUGUUUUCCUUUUUUUGAAAUAUACUUUGGAAUUUCCUUUAUUGAGGGUUUAUUGGUUGUUGUUCUAAAAUGCUUUUAUUUUGUUCACAUUCCUGAAUAGUAGUUUAUCUAUGUAUAUAAUUACAGGUUGAAAUUAAUCUGUGGCAGUACUUUGAAAAUUUUCUGGUUUCCAUUGUUGAAAUUGAGAAGUCUGCGGUGAAUCUAAUUGUUAUUUCUUUGUAGGCAAUCUUUUUCUUCUCACUGUUUCCAAUAUCAUCUCUUUGUUUUUGCUUUUCUUUAUUUUUACUAUGAUAUACUGUGGAAGAAUAUUCCUUUAUUUAUUCUGAUUAUGAGGUUUGUCUUUUAUUAAUUAUAAAAUUUUGUUAACUAUUA